GUAAGGAGAAAGGCGGAGAGGAGA
rnacentral:siRNA from 1 species